GCCAUCUAGCAUUCCAGCAAUGAAGCUCAAACCUAAGUACUAUAGUACCAUCACACUGUAUUAUCACACUGUAUUACCGACAGCUACGUCAACAUCAAAUCCAAUUGACUACACCAUGGAGACUGUACACUAUACUUCCAUAGACUAUACUUUCAGCCAUUUUAAACUUCCCGCCAUUCUACUUCAUUGUUACUUCUUCUGUGACUACAGACGCGUACGGAAGCAACUUCAUUAUUUUAGAUAUUCACGAGCGAAGCCGCGGGUUAAAGCUAGUAAUUAUAUAAUUCAUCAGCGCAUGCGCAAUAUUAGUGAUAAUUUAUAGUAGAGCAGAAAAAAAUGAUGAAUUUGUGAUUUUUAGGUUAAAAAUGUAUAAAAUGCAUUCGGGGACUUUGAAAAUAUAAAAGAUGUGAUAGAAAUUGCUGAAUGAGAAGAAUUUUAGGUUAAAAUGUCGAUAAAACAGGGAUUUUCACUCUGCCACACAUAAAAACAUAAUUUUAAGGUUAUGUUUGCUUCCGCUCAUGCCCAACACUCAAAUAAUAUCAAUUAAUUAUAUUUCUUUAAAUGAUAAGUUAAGAGAAAGUAUACAAUCGAUAAAAAUAGCCACUCAUAGUGUACACCUAUCAUCUAAAUAAGUGAUUUCCGUUUUCGAACGUGCAGUACCCACCAACCAAUGAAAAUAAACCUGUACAAUCAUCUAAAAAACGCUAAACGUAAUAAUAUAAAUAACAAAAUUAGUAAUUUCAUCUCAUAUUCAACAACAUAGUGUAAUAGGUAUCUCAUCUGUUUGUUUCUUUCAUCAUAUAUAUAAUUUAAAGAUAUUCAUACUUUUUGUCUUCGCUUCUCUUUGUAUAUAUGUAUUAAUGCUUUAAGUUUGUUUUAUUGAAUCGUUUCUGUAUAUACCCAGUAUGCCCAGCACCUAGUAUAACCUCCAAAUAUGUAUGAGCAUCGUCGACUUAUUUAUACACUGCUAAGGGUCCCACAAAUCACACGCAUGCGCCACAAUCUCUACACAACCGCAAAACAUGUCAAUUCAAUUAUUUAAAACCACAUAAAAAUCGUUGAAUUUGCUACCGCUGCCCGAGAAAUUCACUAAAAUCAAUUUUACUAUCUAGACUAGGACGAGUAUGAUAAAUGCUGCUGCUGGGACACUUCCGGUUGCGUAGAAAUCGUGACUUUAUCUUUGGGGGAGGGUAGUGGAGGGUUUAGCUGACCCGAUAUCAUUUGAACGCGGCGAAGAACGGCUGAUUUGCGUUCUGACCGUUGUUCAUACUCAUAUUCAUGUUCAGAUUGUUGAAGUUGUUCAUGGGUGGCGCGCCGCCAUAACCGGAUAUGCGCGGUUGAUUCACCGGCGAGGUGGGGUUGCUCGCCAGUUGGUUCAUGCUCGGCGCAGCCGCGUUCUUGUUUGAGUUGGUGAGCAGGUUGUCCAAGUCAAUGUUAAUACCGGAGUUGCUCCACGUGGCGCCCACAUCGGCGAGCUGGGUUUUCGUCGGCUUCGUGUUGGACGCGUCGACGUUGGAAUUGUUUGCGUUAUUGGAAGACAUUGGUUGUAAUACUUGCGCUGAUUGCGGACUUAACAUUGGACCUGCAAGAAGAAACACAAUUAAAUAUAACCUAGAAAUAUCCAGUGAGUGAAUAGAAAAUAAGUUUAGGUUUAGCUUUACUAAUGUAAACUCAAUCAUAGAAGUGAUAGGCAACCAGUGAUACACCAUCACAACCCUACAGAGUGAAAUCAUCCUUAGAAGAAUAAAAACAACACAUGCGCAGUUAAAAGACGACACUCCGAGUCCGAUUCUCCCCGAUUCACAUUCGGAUUCAUCAUGGAUCCCAACCACAAGCGAUAUUCCAUCAAUUCGCCAACGAAAUCGUCC